rnacentral:rRNA from 1 species
CCCUUAGAUGUUCUGGGCCGCACGCGCGCUACAAUGGUCUUCGCAAACGGAUGCAUUCUCGAAGGAGAAUGCCAAUCUUGGAAUCUAUGCCUUGGUCGGGACAGUUGCUUGCAAUUUUUCGACUCGAACCAGGAAUUCCUUGUAAUCGUGAUUCAUCACAUCACGAUGAAUACGUCCCUGCCCUUUGUACACACCGCCCGUCGCUCCUACCGAUCGAAGAGUUAGGUGAAUUGUUUUGAUCGAUAAGAUUUGACUAUGGUCAACUCUCGUCGUGAAAUUCUGUGAAUCUGACUGUUUAGAGGAAGGAAAAGUCGUAACA